GCCUACGGGGGGCAGCAGUGGGGAAUAUUGCACGAUGGGGGAAACCCUGAUGCAGCGACGCCGCGUGAGUGAAGAAGUAUUUCGGUAUGUAAAGCUCUAUCAGCAGGGAAGAUAAUGACGGUACCUGACUAAGAAGCUCCGGCUAAAUACGUGCCAGCAGCCGCGGUAAUACGUACGGAGCAAGCGUUAUCCGGAUUUACUGGGUGUAAAGGGAGCGCAGACGGCAAGGCAAGUCUGAUGUGAAAGUCCGAGGCUCAACCUCGGGAAUGCAUUGGAAACUG
rnacentral:rRNA from 1 species